UACGUAGGGUGCAAGCGUUAUCCGGAAUUAUUGGGCGUAAAGGGCUCGUAGGGGGUUUGUCGCGUCUGCGGGGAAAACUGGAGGCUCAACCUCCAGCCUGCAGUGGGUACGGGCAGACUAGAGUGCGGUAGGGGAGAUUGGAAUUCCUGGUGUAGCGGUGGAAUGCGCAGAUAUCAGGAGGAACACCAAUGGCGAAGGCAGAUCUCUGGGCCGUAACUGACGCUGAGGAGCGAAAGCAUGGGGAGCGAACAGG
rnacentral:rRNA from 1 species